rnacentral:rRNA from 1 species
CCUACGGGAGACAGCAGUGAGGAAUAUUGGUCAAUGGGCUUACGCCUGAACCAGCCAAGUCGCGUGAGGGAAGACUGCCCUAUGGGUUGUAAACCUCUUUUGUCAGGGAGCAACGCCGGCUACGUGUAGCCGGACUGAGAGUACCUGAAGAAAAAGCAUCGGCUAACUCCGUGCCAGCAGCCGCGUUAAUACGGAGGAUGCGAGCGUUAUCCGGAUUUAUUGGGUUUAAAGGGUGCGUAGGCGGAAUGCCAAGUCAGCGGUAAAAGCGCGGGGCUCAACCUCGCUCAGCCGUUGAAACUGGCGUUCUUGAGUGGGCGAGAAGUAUGCGGAAUGCGUGGUGUAGCGGUGAAAUGCAUAGAUAUUGCGCAGAACUCCGAUUGCGAAGGCAGCAUACCGGCGCCCAACUGACGCUGAAGCACGAAAGCGUGGGUAUCGAACAGGAUUAGAUACCCUUGUAGUC